rnacentral:rRNA from 1 species
CACGUAGGCACCAAGCGUUGUCCGGAUUUAUUGGGCGUAAAGAGCUCGUAGGCGGUUCGGUAAGUCGGGUGUGAAAACUUUGGGCUCAACCCAAAGCCUGCACUCGAUACUGCUGUGACUUGAGUCCGGUAGGGGAGUGGGGAAUUCCUGGUGUAGCGGUGGAAUGCGCAGAUAUCAGGAGGGACACCGGUGGCGAAGGCGCCACUCUGGGCCGGUACUGACGCUGAGGAGCGAAAGCGUGGGGAGCGAACAGG